AGAGUUUGAUCCUGGCUCAGGAUGAACGCUGGCGGCGUGCCUAACACAUGCAAGUCGAGCGAUUUACUUCGGUAAAGAGCGGCGGACGGGUGAGUAACGCGUGGAAAACCUGCCGUAUACCGGGGGAUAACACUUAGAAAUAGGUGCUAAUACCGCAUAAGCGCAUAGCUUCGCAUGAGGCAGUGUGAAAAACUCCGGUGGUAUACGAUGGUUCCGCGUCUGAUUAGCUAGUUGGCGGGGUAACGGCCCACCAAGGCAGCGAUCAGUAGCCGGCCUGAGAGGGUGAACGGCCACAUUGGGACUGAGACACGGCCCAAACUCCUACGGGAGGCAGCAGUGGGGAAUAUUGCACAAUGGGGGAAACCCUGAUGCAGCGACGCCGCGUGAGUGAAGAAGUAUUUCGGUACGUAAAGCUCUAUCAGCAGGGAAGAAAAUGACGGUACCUGACCAAGAAGCCCCGGCUAACUACGUGCCAGCAGCCGCGGUAAUACGUAGGGGGCAAGCGUUAUCCGGAUUUACUGGGUGUAAAGGGAGCGUAGACGGCAGCGCAAGUCUGGAGUGAAAUGCCGGGGCCCAACCCCGGAACUGCUUUGGAAACUGUGCAGCUUGAGUGCAGGAGAGGUAAGCGGAAUUCCUAGUGUAGCGGUGAAAUGCGUAGAUAUUAGGAGGAACACCAGUGGCGAAGGCGGCUUACUGGACUGUAACUGACGUUGAGGCUCGAAAGCGUGGGGAGCAAACAGGAUUAGAUACCCUGGUAGUCCACGCCGUAAACGAUGAUUACUAGGUGUCGGGGGACCAAGGUGCUCCGGUGCCGGCGCAAACGCAUUAAGUAAUCCACCUGGGGAGUACGUUCGCAAGAAUGAAACUCAAAGGAAUUGACGG
rnacentral:rRNA from 1 species